UCAGGUGGCCGCAGAGAAUAGGCCCAAGCGACUGUUUACCAAAAACAUAGGUUUCUGCUAAGUCGCAAGACGAUGUAUAGGAGCUGACGCCUGCCCGGUGCUGGAAGGUUAAGGGGAUCUGUUAGAGCAAUCGAAGCAGUGAACUUAAGCCCCAGUAAACGGCGGCCGUAACUAUAACGGUCCUAAGGUAGCGAAAUUCCUUGUCGGGUAAGUUCCGACCCGCACGAAAGGCGUAACGAUUUGGGCACUGUCUCA
rnacentral:rRNA from 1 species